rnacentral:rRNA from 1 species
GGUGAAAACUUAUGGCUCAACUAUAAGCUUGCCUUUGAAACUGAAAGACUAGAGUACUGGAAAGGUGGGUGGAACUACACGAGUAGAGGUGAAAUUCGUAGAUAUGUGUAGGAAUGCCGAUGAUGAAGAUAACUCACUGGACAGAAACUGACGCUGAAGUGCGAAAGCUAGGGGAGCAAACAGGAUUAGAUACCCUGGUAGUCCUAGCUGUAAACGAUGAUCACUGGGUGUGGGGAUGAAUAGUCUCUGUGCCGAAGCAAAAGCGAUAAGUGAUCCGCCUGGGGAGUACGUACGCAAGUAUGAAACUCAAAGGAAUUGACGGGGACCCGCACAAGUGGUGGAGCAUGUGGUUUAAUUCGACGCAACGCGAGGAACCUUACCAGGUCUUGACAUACUCGGAAUCUUUUGGAAGCAAAGGAGUGCCUUCGGGAACCGAGAUACAGGUGGUGCAUGGCUGUCGACAGCUCGUGUCGUGAGAUGUUGGGUUAAGUCCCGCAACGAGCGAAACCCCUAUCAUUAGUUGCCAUCAUUAAGUUGGGGACUCUAAUGAAACUGCCUGCGACGAGCAGGAGGAAGGUGGGGAUGACGUCAAGUCAUCAUGCCCCUUAUGAUCUGGGCUACACACGUGCUACAAUGGGUAGUACAAAGAGGAG